GUACUACUCCCUCCGUCCGAAAAUACUUGUCAUCAAAAUGGAUAAAAAAGAUGUAUCUAGAACUAAUUUACAUCUAGACACAUCCCCUUUUAUUCAUUUUGAUGACAAGUAUUUUCGGACGGAGGGAGUACUAU
rfam:Triticum aestivum genome assembly, contig: Triticum_aestivum_CS42_TGACv1_scaffold_345157_4DL